AUGCUCGCUUUGGCAGCACUUACACUAAAACUGAAUCAAUACAGAGAAGAUUAGCAUGGCCCGUGUGCAAGGAUGACAUGUGAAUUUGUGAUAUGUUCCGUAUUUUU